rnacentral:rRNA from 1 species
UGGCGGACGGGUGAGUAAUAUCUGGGAAACUGCCCGAUGGAGGGGGAUAACUACUGGAAACGGUAGCUAAUACCGCAUAACGUCGCAAGACCAAAGAGGGGACCUUCGGGCCUCUUGCCAUCGGAUGUGCCCAGAUGGGAUUAGCUAGUAGGUGGGGUAACGGCUCACCUAGGCGACGAUCCCUAGCUGGUCUGAGAGGAUGACCAGCCACACUGGAACUGAGACACGGUCCAG